GGGAGUUUGACGUAGAUGAUGAUUCAAUAAAUUAAUUACCACUCUGCAAAUUAGGGAGUGAAUUGUGAACGUGUUAGCCUGAGUUGCUUGUUCUUAGCCUGAGGAUAAGGCUCCCUGUGCAUUUUGUUUCUCCCUUGCUAUCAGCCUUGAAUAUGUUAAUCCUCUCCCUAAAACACACACACACACACACACACACACACUGACAUUCCUACUCCCUCAUCAGGAACAGCACGAUUUGCAAUAUUGAAUUGAUUGCUUCAGGGAACAGAUCUGUGCUUGAGAUAACUGGCAGAGCACAAAGCCAUUUCCUACCUGCGCCUGUGGAGUGGCUGCUCAGGGUGAGGGGAAGAGGGAUGUUGUCGGGUGGAAACCAGGAGCCGGCUGCUGCCGGCAGCAGGACUGCCCUAACAGCAGCCAGAGUAGCUUUGUUGGCAGGAACACACAAAAGGAACCUCUGUGAAGCUGAAGUGGCUGAGCCCAUCCGGGCUGAAGGGCUCUUAUCUCACAUUUCUGAGGCAGUGUCAGCCAACCUGGAGCAUAAUCCUGGCCUCCAGCAACUUGGUGUUUGCUAUCCUGUUAUCAUCCUCAGCUGCUACAUGGCAACCAACACAUGGGGAUCUGGACCUUCAAAGACAAAAUAGAAAAAAAGUUCAUUCUUUGGGAUACCAUUUGGAAAGAAGAAAAGGUGUAGAGAAGUAGGAAAGCAUCUGCUGUGAGAGCUGACAUUUGUUGCAAUUUCCCUUCAUCAAAUUCAGUUUUCUGGCACAAUGAUUUGAUACAAACAUUUUGAAUGACUGUCAUUCUAUUAUUUGAGCAAACAUGAAGGAAAAGCAGUCCUAAUUUGUGUUCAUUUCCACUGUUUCUAAGUCGUGUCAAAAUGCAAUAGCUACAGAACACCUGGAAAUGUUUAGCAAACUGCCAUCCUUACACUCUGCUUUUGGCUGAGGAGGAGAGGUUUUUCAUUCAAUCCCAACUAGGCCUGUAACUAAUAUUUCAAUAUUUGUCCUUUUUCUGCC
rnacentral:lncRNA from 1 species